rnacentral:rRNA from 1 species
UACGUAGGGACCAAGCGUUGUUCGGAUUUACUGGGCGUAAAGGGCGCGUAGGCGGCAAUUCAAGUCAUCUGUGAAAUCUCCGGGCUUAACUCGGAACGGUCAGAUGAUACUGCUUUGCUCGAGUGCGGAAGGGGCAAUCGGAAUUCUUGGUGUAGCGGUUAAAUGCGUAGAUAUCAAGAGGAACACCUGAGGUGAAGACGGGUUGCUGGGCCGACACUGACGCUGAAGCGCGAAAGCCAGGGGAGCAAACGGG